UACGAAGGGGGCUAGCGUUGCUCGGAAUCACUGGGCGUAAAGGGCGCGUAGGCGGAUUGUUAAGUCAGAGGUGAAAGCCCAGGGCUCAACCCUGGAAUUGCCUUUGAUACUGGCAAUCUUGAGACCGGAAGAGGUUAGUGGAACUGCGAGUGUAGAGGUGAAAUUCGUAGAUAUUCGCAAGAACACCAGUGGCGAAGGCGGCUGACUGGUCCGGUUCUGACGCUGAGGCGCGAAAGCGUGGGGAGCAAACAGG
rnacentral:rRNA from 1 species